AGGAAGAUCCAGUAGCAUCAAAUAUGUAGCCAGCGUAGGGUAGUGCCACUACAGGGAAAUUCUGUUGUUUCAUAUCCUGAUUCGGUGGUCAUCCAAGUGCUGUGAUCCCUUCUGUAUCUGCUGUGGAUGAAGUGUUAGUGGAAGCAGUGGCAUUUUGUGCAGAAGAGGCAGAAGUGGAGGGCACAUUUGAGUCUUGGGGUUAGCUGCAAUGAACAUCUCAUGGCAUUUCUCAUCUGUACCCUUGAUUAAGGAUUCUACUGUCGGCUAAAGAAUUUUAGGAGAAUACUACCUUUAUCUGCUUGAUUCCUGGACUUUUAUAAUUCAGAAUCAGGAGGCUGUUAGAAAGGAACAGCACCGCUACACACUUUCCUGAGGUGAUGAAGCGGUCAGCCUGAUUGAACAUGCAAUAAUGGAAAAGAGAAAAGAAAUAUAAGCUGAUACUCGAAGAGUCCAGCCCGUGUCAACUGAGGUCACAUUGUGGUAAUCAGCCAGUCUGAAGGGUCUCUGAAGGAUUCCCUGAGAUGUGUGGUGUCUUGAAGGGAGGGCUGUAAGGCUGGUUUACCUGGGGCUUUCUCCCAGGGAGCCUAUGUAUACCCUCUCCAGCAUGAUGGUCUCAGAGUGGUUGGACUUUAUUCCUACACACAUUUUUUUUGAUAUUACUGUAAAUGGCAUUUUCUUUUUUUUUUUUUUUUUUUUGAGGAAGAUCAGCCCCGAGCUAACUACUGCCAAUCGUCCUCUUUCUGCCCAAGAAGACUGGCCCUGAGCUAACAUCCAUGCCCAUCUUCCUCUACUUUAUACGUGGGACGCCUACCACAACAUGGCUUGCCAAGCGGUGCAAUGUCUGCACUGGGGAUCCGAACCUGCGAACCCGGGCUGCCCAGAAGCGGACGUGCGAACUUAACCACUGCGCCACCGGGCCAGACCCAUGGCAUUUUCUUUUUAAUUGUGAUUUCUUCUCGUUUGCUGCAUGCCCCUUUCCGUCUCAGGCUGCCUCAGUGAGAGGAGCUGCUGCCGCCUUGGCGUAUCUGCAAUGGACGGUCGGGAGCACUACUCCGGUUUCCUGAUCAAGAGGAAUAAACGGGCGCAUGUGCAGCGCUGACGCCAAUCAUCUGAAGGCCUGCAACUCCUUCCGCUACAAGGGACUGAUUCACUGCAAGACUGCGGGAGUGGAGCAGGCAGCCGAGGACAAGGGUGUGGUGGUGUUCACGAAGAAGAGAUCCGGCCAGCCAAAGCCAGCCACCUUCAUCCUGCAGACCACAUCAACAAGAACUCCUGGGCCACUUUCAGCGGCACCUGGCACGUGAACAGCAAGAACAAGUACCGCCUGGAUCUGCGUGUCUGCCGUCCGCUGAGUCUGCGCAAGCCUUGCGCAGCCAGAAGCCUGUGAUACUGAAGAGGGGGUGGACCAGCACGGAGUCCCAUAACGUCUCCCACCCCAAGCAAUAAAGAUGUCAACCGACUUUUCUCGACGAUGACAACAAAAUAUACAGAAAGGCAGCUGAGUCUUAUUCUGGGCACCGUGAUGUUGAGCCAUCCUUGCAUCCCUGGAAAGAAAUGAAAAAUAGAACCACCAUAUGAUCCAGCAAUCCCACAUCUGAGUAUAUAUCCAAAGGAAAUGAAACCAUUAUUAUGAAGAGAUAAUUUUACUUCCAUGUUCAUUGCAGCAUUAUUCAUGAUAGCCAAGAUAUGGAAACAACCUAAGUGUCUGUCAGUGCAUGAAUGGAUCAAGAAAAUAUAACUAUAUAUAUGUAUAUACAUAAAAAAUGAAAUAGCCUUAAAAAGAAGGGAAAUCCUGUCAUUUGCAACAACAUGGAUGAACCUGGAGGACAUUAUGCUAAGUGAAAUGAACCAGGCAGAGAAAGACAAAUGCUACAUGAUAUCACUUAUAUCUGGAAUCUUAACCAAAAAAAUAGUCAAACUUUUAGAAACAGAGAGUAGAAAAGUGGU
rnacentral:lncRNA from 1 species